GAUGAACGCUGGCGGCGUGCCUAAUACAUGCAAGUCGAGCGAACGGACGAGAAGCUUGCUUCUCUAAUGUUAGCGGCGGACGGGUGAGUAACACGUGGAUAACCUACCUAUAAGACUGGGAUAACUUCGGGAAACCGUAGCUAAUACCGGAUAAUAUUUUGAACCGCAUGGUUCAAAAGUGAAAGACGGUCUUGCUGUCACUUAUAGAUGGAUCCGCGCUGCAUUAGCUAGUUGGUAAGGUAACGGCUUACCAAGGCAACGAUGCAUAGCCGACCUGAGAGGGUGAUCGGCCACACUGGAACUGAGACACGGUCCAGACUCCUACGGGAGGCAGCAGUAGGGAAUCUUCCGCAAUGGGCGAAAGCCUGACGGAGCAACGCCGCGUGAGUGAUGAAGGUCUUCGGAUCGUAAAACUCUGUUAUUAGGGAAGAACAUAUGUGCAAGUAACUGUGCACAUCUUGACGGUACCUAAUCAGAAAGCCACGGCUAACUACGUG
rnacentral:rRNA from 1 species